UACGAAGGGGGCUAGCGUUGCUCGGAAUCACUGGGCGUAAAGGGCGCGUAGGCGGCCAUUCAAGUCAGGGGUGAAAGCCUGUGGCUCAACCACAGAAUUGCCUUUGAUACUGUUUGGCUAGAGACCGGAAGAGGUAAGUGGAACUGCGAGUGUAGAGGUGAAAUUCGUAGAUAUUCGCAAGAACACCAGUGGCGAAGACGGCUUACUGGUCCGGUUCUGACGCUGAGGCGCGAAAGCGUGGGGAGCAAACAGG
rnacentral:rRNA from 1 species